rnacentral:pre_miRNA from 1 species
AGGGCAAUUGCUGGGUUAUAUGGUAACUUUAUAUUUUAAAGAAAUGCAAACCUGUUUUCUAGAGUGACUGUAUCACUUACAUUCCCCACAGCAAU